GACGAACGCUGGCGGCGUGCUUAACACAUGCAAGUCGAACGGAGAACUUAUUUCGGUAAAUUCUUAGUGGCGAACGGGUGAGUAACGCGUGGGCAACCUGCCCUUCAGAUGGGGACAACAUCCCGAAAGGGGUGCUAAUACCGAAUACGAUCACGCUGCCGCAUGGCGGUGUGAUGAAAGAUGGCCUCUAUUUAUAAGCUAUCGCUGAAGGAUGGGCCUGCGUCUGAUUAGCUAGUUGGUGGGGUAACGGCCUACCAAGGCGAUGAUCAGUAGCCGGUCUGAGAGGAUGAACGGACACAUUGGGACUGAGACACGGCCCAAACUCCUACGGGAGGUAGCAGUGGGGAAUAUUCCGCAAUGGACGAAAGUCUGACGGAGCAACGCCGCGUGAGUGAUGAAGGUUUUCGGACUGUAAAACUCUGUUGUUUAGGACGAAAGUGCCUGUUGCAAAUAGUUGCAGGUAUUGACGGUACUGAACGAGGAAGCCACGGCUAACUACGUGCCAGCAGCCGCGGUAAAAC
rnacentral:rRNA from 1 species